rnacentral:rRNA from 1 species
GACGAACGCUGGCGGCGUGCUUAACACAUGCAAGUCGAGCGGAAAGGCCACUUCGGUGGUACUCGAGCGGCGAACGGGUGAGUAACACGUGAGUAAUCUGCCCUGGACUUUGGGAUAGCCACCGGAAACGGUGAUUAAUACCGGAUACGACGACUCCCCGCAUGUGGGGGUUGUGGAAAGUUUUUUCGGUUCAGGAUGUGCUCGCGGCCUAUCAGCUUGAUGGUGGGGUAAUGGCCUACCAUGGCUUCGACGGGUAUGGGGCGUGAGAGCGUGCCCCCACUCACUGGGACUGAGACACUGCCCAGACACCUACGGGUGGCUGCAGUCGAGAAUCUUCGGCAAUGGGCGAAAGCCUGACCGAGCGACGCCGCGUGCGGGAUGAAGGCCUUCGGGUUGUAAACCGCUGUCGUAGGGGAGGAAGGAUCUGCGAAGAGCAGAACUUGACCGAUCCUAGGAGGAAGGGCCGGCUAAUCUCGUGCCAGCAGCCGCAGUAAUAC